rnacentral:rRNA from 1 species
UUUAAUGAGAGUUUGAUCCUGGCUCAGGACGAACGCUGGCGGCGUGCCUAAUACAUGCAAGUAGAACGCUGAGGUUUGGUGUUUACACUAGACUGAUGAGUUGCGAACGGGUGAGUAACGCGUAGGUAACCUGCCUCAUAGCGGGGGAUAACUAUUGGAAACGAUAGCUAAUACCGCAUAAGAGUAAUUAACACAUGUUAGUUAUUUAAAAGGAGCAAUUGCUUCACUGUGAGAUGGACCUGCGUUGUAU